UCAUGAUGGUUUUAUAAAAAAAAUUUCCGCAUAUGUACCUAUUAAGAGUAUUUUAGUUAUUUUAAUUUGAAACUGUUAAUUUUUUUAACAGCACUAGAUGGAGUGGUACAUUUGCAAAAAUAAGAAUAAAAAAAAUAAAAUAACAAAAUAAGUGUUUUAUGAGGGUGUAGAUGCAAAUAUCAAUUUUCGGAGUGUAUUCAUGUAAAAUUUGAUAUUUAGGAGGAUAUUUAUGCAAAAAAUUCUAAAAAAUAAAUAAAUUCUAAGUACUUUUUUUAGAGUGAGAAGCAGAAGUGGUUCAAUUAAUAGAAUGAUGAUUUAUUUUAUCAAUUAUUACACCCUAAGGCUGCUGUAGCUGGCAUGAUGCCAACUUUAGGAAAAUACAUAUAUUCAAACGGUGAUAUGCAAUGAUGCCGAUUGUCCCCAAGGUAAGAUACGAGAAAAAACGCCGGUAAACAUUUGGGAGACAUACAAAAAGAUACCAAAACUUGAUUGGAGGCAUGCCAUCUUAAUUACCAAACAAAUCCCAUGGAAAACUUAGUUCGGCAAAUAUCAAGUUUAUUGAGGGCAUGCUUGGACACGGAAUCAAUUUAUUCAUGUGAUAGGAACAAGGAAAAUAAUGUCAUGGAUGCCAACGUAUCUGGAAGCAUGACAUGAAGCUACAUCUUGGACAUCAAAAUAGAAUAAAACGCUGUACGUGUCCGAAUGGAUCAACCAUCAACAAGUAUCUAAUGAGUGCAAACAUGAUACAUCGUGUCACACAUCUGGUUUUACCGAGAAAAAUGAUAUAUCCUAAUCAAGGACCACGUAAUCCUCAGGAUUCUUGUCAAACA
rnacentral:lncRNA from 1 species